rfam:Daphnia magna strain Xinb3 scaffold02190, whole genome shotgun sequence.
CAAAGCAAGGGAAAGGUUAUAGCUCUUAUGUGUCUUAUUUUGAUUACCAUAAGCGUAUGGCUUUUCCCCUGCAAUG